rnacentral:rRNA from 1 species
GAAAGUAAAGAAGGGCGCAUGGCGGAUGCCUUGGCUCUCGGAGGCGAUGAAGGACGUGAUAAGCUGCGAUAAGCUUUGGGGAGGUGCAAAUGACCUUUGAUCCAGAGAUUUCCGAAUGGGACAACCCAAUAUCUUGAAGAGGUAUUAUCCAACGUUGUUGGAGGCUAACGCAGGGAACUGAAACAUCUUAGUACCUGCAGGAAAAGAAAAUAAACAAUGAUUCCCCCAGUAGUGGCGAGCGAACGGGGAACAGCCCAAACCAUCCAUGUUACGGCAUGGGUGGGGUUGUAGGACUACGCCGUUGCAUGAAGACAUCAGAGAAGAACUUUCUGGAAAGAAAGACCAUAGAGCAUGACAGUUGCGUAUUCGAAUGUUGUCGAAGCAUAGUAGUAUCCUGAGUAGCGCGGAGCACGAGGAAUUCUGCGUGAAUCUGCCGGGACCAUCCGGUAAGGCUAAAUACUCCCGAGAGACCGAUAGCGAACCAGUACCGUGAGGGAAAGGUGAAAAGCACUUCGAACAGAAGAGUGAAAUAGUUCCUGAAACCGUGCGCCUACAAGCGGUCGGAGCUCGUUAAUGAGUGACGGCGUGCCUUUUGCAUAAUGAACCUACGAGUUGCCUUUGCCGGCAAGGUUAAGUGUGACGACACACGUAUCCGAAGCGAAAGCGAGUCUGAACAGGGCGUAUAGUCGGCAGUGGCAGACGCGAAACCAAGUGAUCUACCCUUGGCCAGGUUGAAGGCUGGGUAACACCAGCUGGAGGACCGCACCAAUAAGCGUUGAAAAGCUUCUGGAUGAGCUGAGGGUAGGGGUGAAAGGCUAAUCAAACUUGGAGAUAGCUCGUACUCCCCGAAAUGCAUUUAGGUGCAGCCUUGCGGGUUACUGAUGUGAGGUAGAGCGACUGAUAAGAUGCGAGGGCUUCACCGCCUAUCAAGUCUUGACAAACUCCGAAUGCGCAUCAGUUCUACCGCAGGAGUGAGGGCAUGGGUGCUAAGGUCCGUGCCCGAGAGGAGAAGAAUCCGGACCACCUGCUAAGGUCCCGAAAUGACAGCUAAGUUAAACUAACGAAGUCUGACUGCUAAGACAGCUAGGAUGUUGGCUUGGAAGCAGCCAUUCAUUUAAAGAGUGCGUAACAGCUCACUAGUCGAGGAGUCGGGCGUGGAUAAUAAUCGGGUAUUAAGUUGUCUACCGAAGCAGUGGGAUCAUUAAUAUGAUCGGUAGGGGAGCAUUCCAGUCAGCGUCGAAGGCGUACCGUGAGGUAUUCUGGAGCGUCUGGAAAAGCAAAUGUAGGUAUAAGUAACGAUAAAGGGGGCGGGAAACCCCCUCGCCGAAAGACUAAGGUUUCCUGAUCAACGCUAAUCGGAUCAGGGUCAGUCGGGUCCUAAGGCUCAGCCGAACGGCGAUGCCGAUGGCAGAAACGGUUAAUAUUCCGUUACUACCUUCAGGAGUGACGUGGAGACGCAGUAGUGACAGUGCCGCCAUCUGACGGAAUAGAUGGUUGAAGGGUGUAGGAGUCGAUCAUGGCAGGCAAAUCCACCAUGAGAUCCGAACCUGACAGUAUGCCGCGUCCUUCGGGACAAGGCAAUAGUGCGCGUAAGCAUGCUGCCGAGAAAAUCCGCUAAACUUAAUCCUGCAGGUACCCGUACCGCAAACGGACACACGUAGUCGGGAUGAAUAUUCUAAGGCGCUUGAGUGAUUCACGGUUAAGGAACUAGGCAAACUGACCCUGUAACUUCGGGAUAAAGGGUCCCUACCCUUUUAUGGGAGGGCGCAGAGAAUCGGUCCAGGCAACUGUUUAACAAAAACACAGGGCUGUGCCAAAUCGAAAGAUCCAGUAUACAGCCUGACACCUGCCCGGUGCUGGAAGGUUAAGAGGAGAUGUCAUCGAUAAGAGAAGCGUUGAAUUGAAGCCCCAGUAAACGGCGGCCGUAACUAUAACGGUCCUAAGGUAGCGAAAUUCCUUGUCGGGUAAGUUCCGACCUGCACGAAUGGUGUAAUGAUCUGGACGCUGUCUCAACCGUGAGCUCAGUGAAAUUGUAGUAUCGGUGAAGAUGCCGAUUACCCGCGAUGGGACGAAAAGACCCCGUGAACCUUUACUAUAGCUUAUCAUUGAAUCUGGGCACGUGAUGUGUAGGAUAGGUCGGAGGCUUUGAAGCAGGUACGCCAGUAUUUGUGGAGCCGCUGUUGAAAUACGACCCUUUAUUUGUUUGGAUUCUAACCCGUGGAACGGGGACAUUGAUUGGUGGGUAGUUUGACUGGGGUGGUCGCCUCCAAAAGCGUAACGGAGGCUUCUAAAGGUGCCCUCCGGCCGAUUGGUAACCGGCCUUAGAGUGUAAUGGCAUAAGGGCGCUUGACUGGGAGACUGACAAGUCGAUCAGGUAGGAAACUAGAGCAUAGUGAUCCGGUGUUUCCGUAUGGAAGGGACAUCGCUCAAAGGAUAAAAGGUACUCCGGGGAUAACAGGCUGAUCCCUCCCAAGAGCUCAUAUCGACGGAGUGGUUUGGCACCUCGAUGUCGGCUCGUCACAUCCUGGGGCUGGAGAAGGUCCCAAGGG